rnacentral:sRNA from 1 species
GGGCCGGAGGGUGCUCUGUCUGCAACCUCUGUCGAUCGCCAGGCUUGAGUCGGCUGACCUGGCGGGCCAGGCAGGGCCCUGUUCCUCCCUCAUUGCUCCAUGUGUGCCCUUUCCAAAAUGGCAUGCUUGGUGGAAGAUGGUGGCCGUCCGUCCGUCCCUCCCUCCUUGGCCAAGCACGUAAAAUCCCUGCAUCCCUGCUAGGACCUCCGUGCGAAGCUGAAACAGCCAAGUCUAGUUAGUCUU